AGGGACGGAAGGAGAGAAGGUGUCUGGAAUUAAUGUUUUUUUUAAUAUUAGUUCAAUUAAAAAAAACCUGUAGAUCUCUGAGACUAUCCUGAUCUCACAAGUUCAAGUUCUGUUUUUAUGGAAUUCAUUGCGAAACGCAAACGUGAAAAUCUGGAUGCAACAUUACGUUGUGUAGAACGACGUAACGUUGUGUACAUUACGUUGUGUACGUUACGUUGGGAAUGUUACGUUGUGUACGUUAUUUGUUGUUCGUUACGUUGUCUACGUUAUUUAAUGCUCGUUACAUCGUGUACAUUAUUUAAUGUUUGUUACAUUAUGUAGCCUACGUUACGUUGUGUACGUUAUUUAAUGUAUGUUCUGUUGUGCACUUAAAGUAAUGGUGUUGUUUUGUUUCAAUUAAACUUGUUUAGAUUGUGUCUGAAAAAUGUA